UUCCCGUAUCAUUCAUGGGCGGUUUCUAGGGUACAGGGACAAUUAAUACUGUAGUAUGUGAUAAUUACAUGUAUGUUCCUUCCCUUUUCAGUUCUUGAUGCUCACGUAACUUUUUAUCGUCUUUGUUGAUGUGUGUGUGUCCUCGUCCUUGCAUGACGGCGAGCGGACAUGGUGACCCACCUUGUAGAGGCCAAAGAAGCCCAGGUCUCUGAUCACGUUGAGGGCGCUGACCCUGGGGCCGGUGGUGAUCUCUCCUGCCACCUGCAGGCGGAUCUUCACGAUCUCCAGAGGAUUGGUGAAAAUCACCUGGGAGCCUCCAGCCUGCGGGAAGAGGACGCGAUGAUGAGAAGUGGCCUGACUGGAAAUGCUUGGCCAGCCCUGCUCUAAAUCUAAACACGGGACGGAUGCUUUCCACGUUUGUAGAGGAAGCGUCCUGUGCCGGAGCACACUUGGUGUCGCUGGGCCUGCAGCGUCAGGAAGGUGGCACAAACAUCUGUCCUGGCCGCUCAGUACAAUAUGGCCGAAUGGAAGAAUGGAAGGACAACAUGUGAAGAGAAACACCUCCCAAGCAUGGCCGCAUCAGAGUGAAGUGCUGCAAAGGCAUGCUUUCUACCACUCAACGCAAGUUAUGAUAUAUCAAACUACGCCAACAUACUGCGUCGUAUACAGUGGAUCCCUGCACAUUCCUCGGUCACCAUUUUUGGGAUCUCGUGUAUAGGAUAUACUGUAUGUUUGCUGAUACAAAGUGAAAAUACUACAGUGGGGAGGACCGUGAGACGGGAGUCUGAACAGGAAACAAAACUGAGGAGUAGACGGUGACUGACAGCACGACGAGCAGGUAUACAGAUCUACAUGGAAGAGGGAAGUGAUCCGAGGACCGGCUUUUCCAUUUACCUUUGUAAUUUAGCGCUACAGAAAAUGUUCCCUGUGUGGUCCCUCACCCCCUUCUGUCAAGACAUGAUCACACAGCUCCUGUACAUACAUGGCUCAAAACAAACCCACGCCGAUUGUUAGCAUUCAGUCCAAUCGGGUGAGUGGUGGCGUGUCGGCGGGUCAGACGGGGACUACCUUUGGUCACCAGCGUGUCUUUGUGUGUGCCGGCAAAGGUGCUGUAUAUCUUGCGGACCAGCUCCAUGUUGUUCAGGAGGGCGUUAAAGGCGUUGAAGUAGGAGAAGCUCACCAUGUGGGAGGUGCUUCCUCCGGCGGCCUGCGGAAAGAAGAAAACACGGCUGUCACACGCCAAAACACGCUUCACCCGGUACAUCACAGGGGUUCAAGGUCAAUGCCAUAUUGCUUUCAGUGGCCAGCGAAAAUACUGUUGGGAUUUAUCUUUUUAAAAAAUU